UUUCCGUAGGUGAACCUGCGGAAGGAUCAUUGUAGGAUUGUUUUGGGAGGGGUGGCUGUGAUUCGUGGGGAUUGCGUGUGGUUGUUUGGAUUGCUUGGAUUGCUUGGAUUGCUUGGAUUGCCUGGCUGUCUGCAACUCGACUCGUCUCAUCACAACCACUCUUCACAUUGGCACAGACCAAUGGUGUCUGAUGCUUAAAGCAACAGACCACUGGUGUCUGAUGUUUGCGCUUGCUCGUUUGACAGAAACAGUACCAUAUCAUUGCAAAACUUUUAACAAUGGAUCUCUUGGUUCUC
rnacentral:misc_RNA from 1 species